rnacentral:lncRNA from 1 species
CAAGUGCUGGCCAUCACAGUUUCUCUCCUUACUUCAGCAGGUUCCACAUGAGAGCACUUGCCACAUGUCCUGUCACUGAGGUGUUCCUACCGAAGGUAUAUGCAGUAUGCCUGGAUCUUACCCACUGAACCACCUCCAAACCUCUUAUAUUAGUGUAUCGUCAUCAUCACCAUCAUCACCAUCAUCAGCAUCAUCACCAUCAUCAGCAUCAUCACCAUCAUCAGCAUCAUCAGCAUCACCACCACCACUACCACCAACAUCAUCUGAAGAAUUGUAUUUGUGACAGGAUCUUAUGUAGUCAUGGCUGGUCUCAAACAUUCUUUUUUUUUUUUUAAGAUGUAUUUAUUAUUAUACAUAAGUACACUGUUGCUGAUAUCUGACUCACCAGAAGAGGUGUCAGAUCUCAUUACCGGUGGUUGUGAGCCACCAUGUGGUUGCUGGGAUUUGAAUUCAUGACCUUCAGAAGAGCAGUCAGUGUUCUUACCCACUAAGCCAUCUCUCCAGCCCAGGCCUCAAGCAUUUUAUGUUGCUAAGGUUGGCCUUCAACUCCUGAUUCUCUUGCUUCUACCUCUCAGGCUC